AUUCUUUUAUUUGGCAUGUACUGUACAAGCAUUUAUGUGUACCAAAGUUAUAAUAUUUAAUUUUUAAGGACUGAGAAAUAAGGCGUGUAAGGUAAAAAAUAAUUUAGCUAUUACGAUAUGCCUUGUGGUGGGUGUGUAGCCGCAUACUAAUUUCAUGGCUGUGUAUAGAUGGAACCGUGGAACUGUCUACCUCUUAGUACUACUACAGGUAUAUCAUAGCAGCAAUAGACAGCGUUAAAUUGGUGAAAUGUGCAGAAACGCCAUGUAUCACAACAGGGGCAUAAUAAUUAGGCCUACAAUUGAUGGGAUAUUAAUAAUAAGCAUGAACCACCGUUCAUGUAAACGUAAUUUUGCAAAUUCCCAUGAUCCUGGAACCAAAAAGGAGACCCAUAUUGUUGUGAUUUCAUUCAAAAGGAAGGUUGAAGUGCUUACAGUAUAGCCUCGUGUAAGGCUUAACAGAGCUGCUUCAUGGCCGACAAUAAACGUUAUUUCUAGUUCCGUUCAUGAUAGGCCUAGGGCAGGGCUCUGUUGUUGGAUUUGAUGUGUUUUCCAUACAUUUUGUAGGCAGCUUUGCUCUGGCGUUAUUAAAAGCAAUGCUACGCAAUGUUUGCCAGUAUAGUACAGUAUAUAUAAACGUAUAGCCUGUAAGGUCCCAUUUUUAUAUAGGCCUAUUUCAUAUAAAUUAUGGUACAGGUAUUUAAAAGAACGGUAAAGCUUUGUGUAUGGUAAGCGACCCAACUUCGAGUUGAAAUUUGCUCUUCUAGGCCUAUAUCUUGUCCAUUUAUUUUGUAUUGCUUCCGAAAGAAUUCUGAUCAAUUUUUUAAACCAUGAAUACCGCCGUCCAUGUACUUUGUGCACCAGGUGGCUAGUUGGUAUAGGCCUACUGUCAUUUUACUAGGCCUAGACCUAUUCAUGAAGGUAUCAAAAUAUAAAUUAUAACUCGAUGGCCUAUUUUAGGUUUACACUGUACACAUCUCUAUCAAUGUUAAUUAAAAUUUGUAAUGUUAAAAUUUACAGAAAAUUCUAAUUUCAUUUAAUUUUUAAAUAUGUAUUAAUUAUUCUUCGUGAAUCUUUAAAAAGUUUCAUUUGCAGUGGAGUUAUGUUCGUCACCGUACUUAAAGGACGGAAUGCAACAAAAUUGUUAAGCAACCAGGAAGUGAUCAACAACCUUUGACACACUUCUGACAUGACCUGUCAUAAACAAGUCCAGGAAGUAAAUUCUAAGAAAUAAUUUAAACUAUUUCCCGGUUUGAAACAGAUGUAUUUUAGGUUUUUAGUAGGCUUAUAUCCUUUUAUUAAAUAGAAUAAAUAACGAAGAUACCAAAUGUACAUGGAACACAAGAAUGUAGAUGGUGUGUACAUACAUUGUGUUGCCUGCUAACUUGUGCACUUACCUGUCAUAAUAAUGGUUAAGUGCAUGAUUUUAUAUGAAUGGCAUAACGAAAAGGGGAGGGGCACGGACCGGGAGAAACUCCCGUAAAGAAUAUACCUGCAUGCCAGCCAUGAAAGUAUAAAACCCGUUUAAUGCUACAUCUAGAUUGCUAACCAGAACUAUUUGUUUUAAAUUAGAGUAUUCUUUAUUGAAUAUACAGUACAUCCUUAUAUACUAUAUAACCUGUAGGCUCAAUGACUGUAGAGGCCUAUCUUUUUGGCUGUAAAGAUAAAAGUUCUUGAUUGGAGGCCUAUAUAAAUAUUUUCUUGUCAUAUUUUGGUAUUGCUUCCAAUAGAAUUCAAAUCAAACUACUGCAUUAUUUAUCACCGCGUUCGGUAUUGAACUUACAAUAUUUAGCCCUACUGUUAUCUACAAACUUGAAAAUGAAUUACAUUAUUUU